AAACAGGGCUGGGGAUGGGGCUCAGUGGGCAAGUGCCCCUCAGUUGUUCAAUCCCCAGUACCAAAAAAGAAAAAGUAUCUUUCGAAGAAGGACCAGGUCGAUUGGACAAAGCCAGUCCCAUGAGAGGCCAAAGGAACAGGAAGCCCACAGUCCCAAGACAGAAAAUAGCUCUGGAAUUCCAAGGAAAAGGAAAGAGCUGGAGAGGCUAGAGCCUAGUGCAUGGGAGGAAUCGCAACUUGGAGCUGCAAGAUGUGCAAAUUGCGUGGAGCCCUUUAAGAUGGCAAAGAGCUUGAAGUUUCCUGUAAGUGUGUUGUGCAGAGGGCUCUACACCAGUGACAAGAUCGGAUUUGUAGUUUUAAAGGAUCCUUUGCUGCGGGGAGGCAAGAGAAGAAUUGGGAGACUGGUCAGAAUAUUGGUGCAGAAACCCAGUGGGAAGUGGCAGCAGCUUAGCCUAGAGCGGUGGCAGUGGGGGUAGAGAAGAGGAGCUGGAUUCAGGGUAUAUUUUGGAAGUACAAUGGACAGAAGUUGCUAAAGCACUGGAUGUAGAGAACAAAAGAAAAGGAAUUUGGAAUGAUUCUAGCUGAUAAUGAAUUCCACUGUUGUGUAUAAUUAUAAUGCACUAACAAAAAUGUUUUGUUUUUUGGGGGGUACUGGGGAUUGAACUCAGGGGCACUCAACCACUGAGGCACAUCCCCAGCCCUAUUUUGUAUUGUAUUUAGAGACAGAGUUUCACUGAGUUGCUUAGCCCCUCACCAUUGUUGAGGCUAGCUUUGAACUCGUGAUCCUCCUGUCUCAGCCUCCCAAGCCACUAGGAUUACCACU
rnacentral:lncRNA from 1 species